GUUGGGUAGAGUAGAGAGGGGUUAGGGAGGAGACACAGGCGACCUAGUGGAGAAAAAGGAGAGUCCAAAGGGAGAGAGAGCAGUUAAGCCAGUAAUCUCGCUCCCUAGUGAAAAAUGGGUACUGAAGAUUGGGUUCUUAAAGGUACAAAAUUGGUAACAAAUACAUAAAAGCAAAAAUUUAAAAUCUAGAGUAGAGUUUGGAAUUUCAAGAAUAUGAUGUUAAAGAAAAGAAGAAGGAAAAGAAAGAGAGAAAAAACGAACAAACAAAAACAAACAAGGUCGCAAAAAUUAUAAAGAAAAUAUAGGUACAAAAUUGAUAACUAAUACCAAAAAGCAAAAAAGAAGGAAAAGAAAGAGAGAAAAAACGAACAAACAAAAACAAACAAGGUCGCAAAAAUUAUAAAGAAAAUAUAGGUACAAAAUUGGUAACAAAUACAUAAAAGCAAAAAUUAAAAAUCUAGAGUAGAGUUUGGAAUUUCAAAAAUACGAUGUUAAAGAAAAGAAGAUGGAAAAGAAAGAGAGAAAAAAUGAACAAAAACAAACAA
ensembl:lncRNA